rnacentral:rRNA from 1 species
GAGUUUGAUCCUGGCUCAGAACGAWCGCUGGCGGCGUGCUUAACACAUGCAAGUCGAACGUGAUCCAGAGCUUGCUCCGGUGAAAGUGGCGCACGGGUGAGUAACGCGUGGAUAACCUGCCCUGGUGUCUGGGAUAACAUCUCGAAAGGGGUGCUAAUACCGGAUAAGCCCACGGGCUCCUCGGAGCUUGCGGGAAAAGGUGGCCUCUAUUUAUAAGCUACCGUAUCAGGAUGAGUCCGCGUACCAUUAGCUAGUUGGUGGGGUAAUGGCCCACCAAGGCUACGAUGGUUAGCUGGUCUGAGAGGAUGAUCAGCCACACUGGAACUGAGACACGGUCCAGACUCCUACGGGAGGCAGCAGUGGGGAAUUUUGCGCAAUGGGGGAAACCCUGACGCAGCAACGCCGCGUGAGUGAUGAAGGCUUUCGGGUCGUAAAGCUCUGUCAGAGGGGAAGAAAUGAAACGUGCUAAUAUCACGUUUUCUUGACGGUACCCUCAAAGGAAGCACCGGCUAACUCCGUGCCAGCAGCCGCGGUAAUAC